rnacentral:misc_RNA from 1 species
UUCGAGCGUCAUUACAACCCUCAAGCAUUGCUUGGUAUUAGGCCCCGCUGCUCACCCAGCGGGCCUUAAAAUCAGUGGCGGUGCAUCGGGCCCUGAGCGUAGUAAAUAUCCUCGCUAUAGGGACCCCGUGGACGCUAGCCAUCAACCCCCAACUUUCUAAGUUUGACCUCGGAUCAGGUAGGGAUACCCGCUGAACUUAA